rnacentral:rRNA from 1 species
AACGAACGAGGGAGGAAGGAAGAACACAUGCAAGUCGAACGAGACCUUCGGGUCUAGUGGCGCACGGGUGCGUAACGCGUGGGAACCUGCCCUUAGGUUCGGAAUAACUCCCCGAAAGGGGUGCUAAUACCGGAUAAUGUCUUCGGACCAAAGAUUUAUCGCCUUUGGAUGGGCCCGCGUUGGAUUAGCUAGUUGGUAGGGUAAAAGCCUACCAAGGCGACGAUCCAUAGCUGGUCUGAGAGGAUGAUCAGCCACACUGGGACUGAGACACGGCCCAGACUCCUACGGGAGGCAGCAGUGGGGAAUAUUGGACAAUGGGCGAAAGCCUGAUCCAGCAAUGCCGCGUGAGUGAUGAAGGCCUUAGGGUUGUAAAGCUCUUUUACCCGGGAUGAUAAUGACAGUACCGGGAGAAUAAGCUCCGGCUAACUCCGUG